rnacentral:tRNA from 1 species
UUUUAUAUAGUUUAAACAAAACUUUAUAUUUUCAUUAUAAAAAUAAGAUCAGGAAUCUUUAUAAAAU